AUGAAUUAUCUGACUCACAGUCCUUCAAUUUCUUCAGGUGGACAGUGAGACUGCACCUCCUACUAGCCAACCAGAUGAGCAGCCCCAUGCCCAGGAGAUGUUGUCACAUGGCAGCACACCCACCAAUCACAACACAGACUGCUCGUUUCAUCAGCCAAUCAGCUCAGAGCAGGCUGUGCCUCCAGCUGGCAAUUUAGGCCCUCUUCACAUCUACAGUCCCCAGACAGUUUUUGUUAGUUUGCUCAAUCAAUUCGGAUGGGAUGGCGGCGAGAAAAAAGCACACGAACUCCAAAAAGAAUCACUAAACAACAUCAACGUGCCUUACCCUCAGUCUCCCCCCGUCCAUCUGUCUGAGGAGGAAAGGAGCGGAGAAAACGAUUUCAUCUUCUUCCCAUCUCAGGAGCAAGGUAAAGAGUGCCACAUAUCUAAAGAAGAGGUGCUGUGAGGGAUAACGGAUUAUUUGUGUCCGUCUUCUUCCGUACUGUUCGACUGCUGUGUGGUUUGUUUUAACUGAUGCUUCGUGAGUACCCAGUAGUAAAACUCUAACCCUGGCAGGGGAUUUCAUCGAGAGAGCAACAGGCUGCGUUAGGGGAAGGCCUGGGUGUGUGACUAACAGUAUGGACGACAUAAUUGUUGCGUAUGAGCUUGACAGUUCAUGCCAGCUUUGCAAUAUCACCCAUAAACGUACUGUUUAUGCGUAACCACUGAUUCUAAGCCAUCAGAACAGCAGGCAGUGGGAUGCUGAUGUUGACUGUAGGAAGAGUCGAUACCAAAGGCUUUCACGUCUUACGAUGGCUGAAUGACUCUCAGGAAGUGUUUGAAAGCAAAGAGCAGCUCUAUAACACUCAGAAGACCAAAGAUUCACAUAUGUUGUGAUAUUUAUUUUAUGUAAAUUUAUUGAAGUCAUUGUAACUGCAAUGUGUCCCAUAAUUUCCUAUCUGUCUGUCUGUCUGUCUAUCUAUCGUUCUAUCUAUCUAUCUAUCUAUCUAUCUAUAUCGACUUCUGGGGCAUUUUGAAUAUAAAACAUUUAUAUUUAUUUAUACUCGUUAUUAAUUCUAUUACAAAUGUUAAAAACACAAAAACAGUUUUUUGUUCUCACGCAGUUUAUCAGUGUUCGAUCACGUUAAGUCCCUGGUUAAUGUUGUCAGUGUUCUUCCUCUUUUCUUUGGUUUUUAUGCGACAGACAUGAUGGAUUGUGCCAUCAAAAAAGCCCUGACAUUUUGAUGGUGGUCUGGAAAGGUCAACAUUGUUUCUUCAUUUAGAAGUCAAUAAGCACAGCACAGCACAGGAACACGCAGUAGCUGUUGUGUCAUCAUAUAUUAUGUUUUAUAUUCGCUGUAAUACACAUUUUUAAACUUGAUAUUAAUCAUAAAGUGCAAUAAAAUCAAUAAAGGUUUAUUUUUUGGUAUGUUUCUCAGAGUACUUCAUUAAAUUCACUGCAAGAUAGCAAAUACAAAUACAAAUGUGUUUUCUAUUUCAUACAACUGGGUAGCUGACAUAAAAUGCUUCUAGGAAAUGACAUGCUAUAUUCCCAUCAAAAACUUCUUUUUAAAAUAUUUGAAACAAUAUUUUGUUAAUUCUAUUAUCAUUUUAUAGAUGCAAUAACU
rnacentral:lncRNA from 1 species